rnacentral:rRNA from 1 species
UAGCCGCAAUUUUGUGCUAAGGUAGCAUAAUCAUUAGUUCAUUAAUUAUGAAAUAGAAUGAAUGAUUACACGAAUAAAUUAAUAUUUUUAUUGUCCCCUAAUAAAUUCAUCUUAAAGUCAAAAAGCUUUAUUUUCUAAGAAGGACAACAAGACCCUGACGAACUCUACUGUCUAGUUUUACUGGGGCGGUGUUCAAUUAUAUCUUCCAAUCUCUUUCUCUCAUCCAGUUCAACUGACUCCUCCAAGUUACCGCAGGGAUAACAGCAUAAUAAAUUUUUAAAGCUCUUAUACAAAAAUAUUUUUAUGACCUCGAUGUUGAAUUAAAUCCCUAAUCUAAGCAAGCUUAGAAACAUUUAGGAAGUCUGUUCGACUUUUAAUUUUUUACAUGAU